GUCCCCAUCGUCUAGAGGCCUAGGACACAACCCUUUCACGGUUGCGACCGGGGUUCGAAUCCCCGUGGGGACGCCA
rnacentral:tRNA from 31 species